GUGCCAGCAGCCGCGGUAAGACAGAGGCCUCAAGCGUUAGGCGGAAUCACUGGGCUUAAAGCGUGUGUAGGCGGAUCGUUAAGUGUCUUGUGAAAUCCCACGGCUCACCCGUGGAACGGCUGGGCAUACUGGCGAUCUUGGGCCAACUAGGGGCAACUGGAACAAGCGGUGGAGCGGUGAAAUGCGUAGAUAUCGCUUGGAACGCCAAAGGUGAAAACAGGUUGCUGGGGUUGUGCCGACGCUGAGACACGAAAGCCAGGGGAGCAAACAGGAUUAGAUACCCUAGUAGUCC
rnacentral:rRNA from 1 species